GCACGGGUAACGAAGCGGCCAAACGUGCUGGCUUCAGGGGCCAGUGGCUUAGUGCCUUCGCAGGUUCGAAUCCUGCCCCGUGCA
rnacentral:tRNA from 1 species